CUCCAGACUCCUACGGGAGGCAGCAGUGGGGAAUAUUGCACAAUGGGGGAAACCCUGAUGCAGCGACGCCGCGUGAGUGAAGAAGUAAUUCGUUAUGUAAAGCUCUAUCAGCAGGGAAGAAAAUGACGGUACCUGAGUAAGAAGCCCCGGCUAACUACGUGCCAGCAGCCGCGGUAAUACGUAGGGGGCAAGCGUUAUCCGGAUUUACUGGGUGUAAAGGGAGCGUAGACGGCCAUGCAAGCCAGGGGUGAAAGCCCGGGGCCCAACCCCGGGACUGCCCUUGGAACUGCAUGGCUGGAGUGCGGGAGGGGCAGGCGGAAUUCCUAGUGUAGCGGUGAAAUGCGUAGAUAUUAGGAGGAACACCAGUGGCGAAGGCGGCUUACUGGACUGUAACUGACGUUGAGGCUCGAAAGCGUGGGGAGCAAACAGGAUUAGAUACCCGGGUAC
rnacentral:rRNA from 1 species